GGACGAACGCUGGCGGCGUGCCUAACCAUGCAAGUCGAGCGGACCUCUUCGGAGGUCAGCGGCGGACGGGUGAGUAACACGUGGGCAACCUGCCUGUAAUGGGAUAACUCCGGGAAACCGAGCUAAUACCGGAUACUAUGUCAAACCGCAUGGUUUGACAUUCAAAGACGGUUUCGGCUGUCACUUACAGAUCCCGCGGCGCAUUAGCUAGUUGGUGAGGUAAUGGCUCACCAAGGCAACGAUGCGUAGCCGACCUGGGUGAUCGGCCACACUGGGACUGAGACACGGCCCAGACUCCUACGGGAGGCAGCAGUAGGGAAUCUUCCGCAAUGGACGAAAGUCUGACGGAGCAACGCCGCGUGAGCCAUGAAGGUUUUCGGAUCGUAAAACUCUGUUGUCAGGGAAGAACAAGUGCCGGAGUAACUGCCGGCGCCUUGACGGUACCUGACCAGAAAGCCACGGCUAACUACGUGCCAGCAGCCGCGGUAAUACGUACGUGGCAAGCGGAAUUAUUGGGCGUAAAGCGCGCGCAGGCGGUUUCUUAAGUCUGAUGUGAAAGCCCCCGGCUCAACCGGGGAGGGUCAUUGGAAACUGGGAAACUUGAGUGCAGAAGAGGAGAGUGGAAUUCCACGUGUAGCGGUGAAAUGCGUAGAGAUGUGGAGGAACACCAGUGGCGAACGCGACUCUCUGGUCUGUAACUGGGCGCGAAAGCGUGGGGAGCGAACAGGAUUAGAUACCCUGGUAGUCCACGCCGUAAACGAUGAGUACUAAGUGUUAGAGGGUUUCCGCCCUUUAGUGCUGCAGCUAAGCACUCCGCCUGGGGAGUACGGUCGCAAGACUGAAACUCAAAGGAAUUGACGGGGGCCCGCACAAGCGGUGGAGCAUGUGGUUUAAUUCGAAGCAACGCGAAGAACCUUACCAGGUCUUGACAUCCUUUGCCACUUCUAGGAAGGUUCCCCUUCGGGGGACAAAGUGACAGGUGGUGCAUGGUUGUCGUCAGCUCGUGUCGUGAGAUGUUGGGUUAAGUCCCGCAACGAGCGCAACCCUUGAUCUUAGUUGCCAGCAUUCAGUUGGGCACUCUAAGGUGACUGCCGGUGACAAACCGGAAGAAGGUGGGGAUGACGUCAAAUCAUCAUGCCCCUUAUGACCUGGGCUACACACGUGCUACAAUGGAUGGUACGAGACCGCGAGGUUUAGCCAAUCCCAUAAAGUUCGGAUUGCAGGCUGCAACUCGCCUGCAUGAAGCUGUAGUAAUCGCGGAUCAGCAUGCCGCGGUGAAUACGUUCCCGGGCCUUGUACACACCGCCCGUCACACCACGAGAGUUUGCAACACCCGAAGUCGGUGGGGUAACCGCAAGGAGCCAGCCGCCUAAGGUGGGGUAGAUGAUUGGGGUGAAGUCGUAACAAGGUAGC
rnacentral:rRNA from 1 species